CACGUAGGGGCCAAGCGUUGUCCGGAUUUAUUGGGCGUAAAGAGCUCGUAGGCGGUUUGUCGCGUCUGCUGUGAAAACCUAAGGCUCAACCUUGGGCUUGCAGUGGGUACGGGCAGACUAGAGUGCGGUAGGGGUGACUGGAAUUCCUGGUGUAGCGGUGGAAUGCGCAGAUAUCAGGAGGAACACCGAUGGCGAAGGCAGGUCACUGGGCCGCAACUGACGCUGAGGAGCGAAAGCAUGGGGAGCGAACAGG
rnacentral:rRNA from 1 species